rnacentral:rRNA from 1 species
CCUACGGGUGGCAGCAGUAGGGAAUCUUGGGCAAUGGACGCAAGCCUGACCGAGCAACGCCGCGUGAGUGAAGAAGGCUUUCGGGUUGUAAACUUCUUUUCUCAGGGACGAAACACGUGCCGGUACCUUAGGCAUCAGCCACGGCUAACUACGUGCCAGCAGCCGCGGUACUACGUAGGUUGAAAGCGUUAUACGGAUUUACUGGGUGUAAAGGGCGGGUAGGCGGGACAGCAAGUCAGAUGUGAAAACCAUGGGCUGCACCUGUGGCCUGCAUUUGAAACUGUUUGUCUUGAGUGCUGGAGAGGCAGACGGAAUUCCAAGUGUAGCGGUGAAAUGCGUAGAUAUUAGGAGGAACACCAGUGGCGAAGGCGGUCUGCUGGACAGCAACUGACGCUGAGGCGCGAAAGCGUGGGGAGCAAACAGGAUGAGAUACCCGAGUAGUC